rnacentral:SRP_RNA from 1 species
GCUGGGUGUGGUGGCGGGCACCUGUAAUCCCAGCUACUCGGGAGGCUGAGGCAGGAGAAUUGCUUGAACUCGGGAGAGGGAGGUUGCAGUGAGCUGAGAUUGCACCACUGCACUCCAGCCUGGGUGACAGAGCAAGACUCUGUCUCGA